GCGUACGGGUGAGUAACACGUGGGUAAUCUACCCUUUGGUGGGGAAUAACUCUGGGAAACCGGAGCUAAUACCGCAUAAUCCUGAGAAGGAAAAGCAGCAAUGCGCCGAAGGAGGAGCCCGCGGCCGAUUAGCCAGUUGGUAGGGUAAUGGCCUACCAAAGCAAAGAUCGGUAGCCGGCCUGAGAGGGCACACGGCCACACUGGCACUGAAACACGGGCCAGACUCCUACGGGAGGCAGCAGUGGGGAAUCUUGCACAAUGGGGGAAACCCUGAUGCAGCGACGCCGCGUGAGCGAUGAAGCCCUUCGGGGUGUAAAGCUCUUUCGGCAGGGAAGAUUAUGACGGUACCUGCAGAAGCAGCUGCGGCUAACUACGUGCCAGCAGCCGCGGUAAUACGUAGGCAGCAAGCGUUGUUCGGAGUUACUGGGCGUAAAGGGUGUGUAGGCGGCUUCUUAAGUUUGGUGUGAAAUCUCCCGGCUCAACCGGGAGGGUGCGCCGAAUACUGAGGGGCUAGAGUGCGGGAGAGGAAAGUGGAAUUCCUGGUGUAGCGGUGAAAUGCGUAGAUAUCAGGAGGAACACCGGUGGUGUAGACGGCUUUCUGGACCGUAACUGACGCUGAAACACGAAAGCGUGGGUAGCAAACAGGAUUAGAUACCCUGGUAGUCCACGCCCUAAACGAUGCAUAUUUGGUGUGGGUCAUUCAGUUGAUCCGUGCCGGAGCUAACGCGUUAAAUAUGCCGCCUGGGGAGUACAGUCGCAAGGCUGAAACUCAAAGGAAUUGACGGGGGCCCGCACAAGCGGUGGAGCAUGUGGUUCAAUUCGACGCAAC
rnacentral:rRNA from 1 species